UACAGAGGGGGCAAGCGUUGUUCGGAAUUACUGGGCGUAAAGGGCGCGUAGGCGGCGUGCUAAGUCGAACGUGAAAUCCCCGGGCUUAACCUGGGAACUGCAUUUGUGACUGCAUGGCUAGAGUGCGGCAGAGGGGGAUGGAAUUCCGCGUGUAGCAGUAAAAUGCGUAGAUAUGCGGAGGAACACCGAUGGCGAAGGCAAUCCCCUGGGCCUGCACUGACGCUCAUGCACGAAAGCGUGGGGAGCAAACAGG
rnacentral:rRNA from 1 species